rnacentral:rRNA from 1 species
AUGAACGCUGGCGGCGUGCCUAAUACAUGCAAGUCGAGCGAACGGACGAGAAGCUUGCUUCUCUGAUGUUAGCGGCGGACGGGUGAGUAACCCGUGGAUAACCUACCUAUAAGACUGGGAUAACUUCGGGAAACCGGAGCUAAUACCGGAUAAUAUUUUGAACCGCAUGGUUCAAAAGUGAAAGACGGUCUUGCUGUCACUUAUAGAUGGAUCCGCGCUGCAUUAGCUAGUUGGUAAGGUAACGGCUUACCAAGGCAACGAUGCAUAGCCGACCUGAGAGGGUGAUCGGCCACACUGGAACUGAGACACGGUCCAGACUCCUACGGGAGGGAGCAGUAGGGAAUCUUCCGCAAUGGGCGAAAGCCUGACGGAGCAACGCCGCGUGAGUGAUGAAGGUCUUCGGAUCGUAAAACUCUGUUAUUAGGGAAGAACAUAUGUGUAAGUAACUGUGCACAUCUUGACGGUAACUAAUCAGAAAGCCACGGCUAACUACGUG